GGGGUCGUAGCUCAGUUGGGAGAGCACUGCCUCGGCAUGGCAGGGGUCACGGGUUCAAGUCCCGUCGACUCCA
rnacentral:tRNA from 1 species